CAGGGAAUAGAUUAAGGAGAAUUUCAG
rnacentral:tRNA from 1 species